AAUCAACGCUGGCGGCGUGCCUAACACAUGCAAGUCGAACGCGAAAGUCCCGCAAGGGGCAAGUAGAGUGGCGCACGGGUGAGUAACACGUGGAUAACCUGCCUUCGAGGUGAGGAAUAACCUUCCGAAAGGAGGGCUAAUACCGCAUAACACCUUGAGACAAAAGUUUCGAGGUUAAAAGGAGCAAUUCGCUGGAAGAGGGGUCCGCGCCUGAUUAGCUAGUUGGUGAGGUAACGGCUCACCAAGGCUGUGAUCAGUAGCCGUCCUGAGAGGGAGCACGGGCCACACUGGAACUGAGACACGGUCCAGACUCCUACGGGAGGCAGCAGUGGGGAAUUUUGGCAAUGGGCGAAAGCCUGACCAAGCAACGCCGCGUGGGUGAUGAAGUAUCUUGGUAC
rnacentral:rRNA from 1 species